GACGAACGCUGGCGGCGUGCUUAACACAUGCAAGUCGAACGAAGAGCGAUGGAAGCUUGCUUCUAUCAAUCUUAGUGGCGAACGGGUGAGUAACGCGUAAUCAACCUGCCCUUCAGAGGGGGACAACAGUUGGAAACGACUGCUAAUGCCGCAUACGAUCUGACCUCGGCAUCGAGGAUAGAUGAAAGGUGGCCUCUAUUUAUAAGCUAUCACUGAAGGAGGGGAUUGCGUCUGAUUAGCUAGUUGGAGGGGUAACGGCCCACCAAGGCGAUGAUCAGUAGCCGGUCUGAGAGGAUGAACGGCCACAUUGGGACUGAGACACGGCCCAGACUCCUACGGGAGGCAGCAGUGGGGAAUCUUCCGCAAUGGACGAAAGUCUGACGGAGCAACGCCGCGUGAGUGAUGACGGCCUUCGGGUUGUAAAGCUCUGUUAAUCGGGACGAAAGGUCUUCUUGCGAAUAGUUAGAAGGAUUGACGGUACCGGAAUAGAAAGCCACGGCUAACUACGUG
rnacentral:rRNA from 1 species